rnacentral:rRNA from 1 species
AUGCAGACGGGGUCGUUGACGGAGCUGCAGGAGCAAGGAGCUCGAGUGCGCCAUGAGGAGUGGAAGGCCGAGUUCGUGCGACGACCAGAGCGACAGGAGCAAGGAGCCUCCUCUAUCUCCCUCUCAGUGGUUGAGGACUUCCUCAAGAAGAAAGAAGAAGGCCAAAUAGAAGAAGAAUUUGGCUCAAAGGUCUUGCAGAGAGUGCAUAAUGUCCCCUCAGGUUUGAAUUGCUCUGAAGUUAUCAGGGCAUUUCCUUAUAGGGCUUGUUCGCAUUUAUUCAUGGAAGGGAGUGAGAGGCGGAUAACAAUAGGGCGAAGAAGCAUGCCAUCGAGGAGUGCAAGCAGCGGCGCUCCUUCGCAAUGGGGUGUGGCUGCGGGGGAGGGAAGGCGGCCAACGACGGGGAGAAUGAGCAGGUCGUCGAGGAGUGCAAGCAGCAGGAUUAAUUUAGGCCCAUACAGUUUCUGUUGA